CGGUUGAUCCUGCCGGAAGUCACUGCUAUCGGGGUUCGAUUAAGCCAUGCGAGUCGAGAGGGUUCGGCCCUCGGCGUACUGCUCAGUAACACGCGGAUAACCUGCCCUAAGGAAGGGGAUAACCCCGGGAAACUGGGGAUAAUACCCUAUAGGUUACAGGUGCUGGAAUGCUCUGUAACCCAAAGUUCCGACGCCUUAGGAUGGAUCUGUGGCCGAUUAGGUUGUUGUUGGGGUAACGGCCCAACAAGCCUGUAAUCGGUACGGGUUGUGGGAGCGAGAGCCCGGAGUUGGAUUCUGAGACACGAAUCCAGGCCCUACGGGGCGCAGCAGGCGCGAAAACUUUACAAUGCGGGCAACCGUGAUAAGGGAACCUCGAGUGCCUGUACAUGCAGGCUGUCCAGGUGUCUAAAAAACAUCUGAAGAAAGGGCCGGGCAAGACCGGUGCCAGCCGCCGCGGUAAUACCGGCGGCUCGAGUGGUGGCCACUUUUAUUGGGCUUAAAGCGUUCGUAGCUGGGUUGUUAAGUCUCUUGGGAAAUCUGGCGGCUUAACCGUCAGGCGUCUAAGAGAUACUAGCAAUCUUGGAACCGGGAGAGGUGAGGGGUACUUCGGGGGUAGGAGUGAAAUCCUGUAAUCCUCGAGGGACCACCUGUGGCGAAGGCGCCUCACCAGAACGGCUUCGACAGUGAGGGACGAAAGCUGGGGGAGCAAACCGGAUUAGAUACCCGGGUAGUCCCAGCCGUAAACGAUGCG
rnacentral:rRNA from 1 species